rnacentral:snRNA from 1 species
GAAUGUGAAGAAAAUGUGCUUGCCACUUCUAUCACCCCAUUGAUCACAGUGUUAUAGUAUUGAUCUGGCUGGCUAGCCAGGUGUCCUCUCCCUCCCUCAUUUUCUCCCAAAUGCUCUGUGUGCAUUCCUCCAGAAGCUGAACAACUCCUUAAGGAGGAGACCUUUUCCAAGUAGGGAUUAGCCAG